CUAGAAUUGUGGUUGUGCGAGAAUUGACUCAUUCAGAAGGGCCCACAUAAAGCCUACUGUGUUCUUCAAAGAAAAGUAUAGAUGUUUUUUUAAAGAAGUACAAGAUGAGGGAUUUGAAAACAGCUGGGACACUGCACGUUCCAAUACCUCUUAUAUUAAAACAGUCAUGUUUAUGAUCUGCAAUCAAAUUUGUAUGCUCUUUAAAAAAUAUUGUCUAAACAAAAGCUUUGCCUUACUCUGCUGGUUUGGAAUAUUGUGUUUUUGUGCUUAUAUAACACAAGAAACCUUAGAUAAAGAUGUUAUCUUCCACCACCACCGUCAUACAAUCUCUGUACCAAUGUCAAGUAUUUUCUUGCAUCUCUGUGGCAAUUUUGCACUGUGAUGGUUCAAUCUCCCAGUCAGGGGUUAAAACCCUUCAUAAUGGGGCCAUCCAUCCUCAUACCAGGACUUGAGGGAAUAAAAAAAAAUGCUCUGCACUUUUUGGCACACACACACACGCACACAUGCAAACACACUCGACACUUUUACUUUCCCACCUGAGCCAGUAUAAAUGAGCAGCCCCCCUCCUCUCUGUCGCUCUAAUAUGGAUGAAGGAGCUACUUGGCGACUUGACGACCCUAAUUUCCACCCCAUUGAAGAGCGUCCCAUACAGCUGUAGCUGAUGAAAUACAUUAGCUGGAAACGCAACUCUUCCGCCGCAGAUGAUACCACCUGCAGAACACAGUCUGCCAGCGAUGAAAGGACAACGGGAGGAACACCUGUGUCCACUGGAGAGUGUGUAUCCAUGGAGUGGGCAUAUGGGCGCAGAGAUGACCACGAGCCAGCCUGGCUCAGGUUGCUGUUACCUCUCGGUCACCUCCAGACCACGGCAGAUGCCAUAUCGGCAUGGAUGAAGGAGAAGCUGGGGCAUGUACAAAGAAUUAUAUUAUAGGUAAUAAGGAUCAAAAUAUAUUAUAUCAUAAUCUCGUGAUCUACUUUCGAGUUUCUGACACAGUGUGAUGGCAUGGUAAAAUUAGAAUUUGUCAUUUUAAGCCCGGUAUUUACUUCUGUCUCACACCAUUGCAUUAAGAGAAGGAAGGAAUUUUCUCAAAUAUUGUACUUAAUUACAGUUAAAAUUCUUACAAAAUAAGAUUAUUUAAAAUUUGCUUUACUACAUUACAGAAGUGAUUCGAACAUUUUGCUGAUCCCAAUCUUAAGUUCUUCUUUUACACUUCUGCGUUUAUUGCAGAAUGCAAAUGCAUGCAGGAUUGAAUGGGUGAUGCACUAAAAUUGCGUAAUCAAGUAAUAAGUGCUAGGUGUACGCAGAAAAAUAGUACACCCGCUGACUAAUGUGGGUAGAUUUUGAUAGAUAUUUUCAUACCGCAGGAACAGAGAAGACAAACAAGUAAAGCAACUUUUGCAGACUUUGCAAAGCAACCAUAACAAAAAAAAAAAUACAAAAAUUGGUGACAUUUAUCAAAAUAAAAAGGAUUCUGUCAGUAGACAAACCUGCCAGCAGGCUUUUGCAGUGGUCAUGAUUCUCAUUUUAUUAGAAACAAGUUGAACUUCCUUGGAGGUUAGCCUGUGGUCCCUCUGGCAUUUCACUGAGAUCUCUAUUCAUCCAUAACCGUUAGGAGAGACUAGCACUACUCCCAGAUGACCUAGCAUCUGUUUAUGGUCAUAAACAUGCCGGGGACGCACUUGCACAAACACGAUGUCAGACACUGACGAAUCCCCUCGAUCGUGAACAAGAUAAAUUCAUUAAUAAAACUUCAUAACAAUGAAAAUUUAAAUGACUUGCCUCUGAAAAUGGGCCACGGGAGCAGCGAAAAAAAUCAACAAAAAUUUAAUCAGGCCUUGAAACGAAUACCAGAAUGGGAUAUUUGAACCGAGCAGCCACAACAAGCGGCAAAGCUGUAAAU
rnacentral:lncRNA from 1 species